rnacentral:rRNA from 1 species
UACGAAGGGGGCUAGCGUUGUUCGGAAUCACUGGGCGUAAAGCGCACGUAGGCGGAUGUGCCAGUCAGGGGUGAAAUCCCGGAGCUCAACUUCGGAACUGCCUCUGAUACAGCACGUCUUGAGUCCGGAAGAGGUGGGUGGAAUUCCGCGUGUAGCAGUGAAAUGCGUAGAUAUGCGGAGGAACACCGAUGGCGAAGGCAAUCCCCCUGGGCCUGCACUGACGCUCAUGCACGAAAGCGUGGGGAGCAAACAGG